CUGGCUCAGGACGAACGCUGGCGGCGUGCUUAACACAUGCAAGUCGAACGAUGAAGCCUAGCUUGCUAGGUGGAUUAGUGGCGAACGGGUGAGUAAUACGUGAGUAACCUACCUUUAACUCUGGGAUAAGCCUGGGAAACUGGGUCUAAUACCGGAUACGACCAAUCUCCGCAUGGGGUGUUGGUGGAAAGCGUUAUGUAGUGGUUAUAGAUGGGCUCACGGCCUAUCAGCUUGUUGGUGAGGUAACGGCUCACCAAGGCGACGACGGGUAGCCGGCCUGAGAGGGUGACCGGCCACACUGGGACUGAGACACGGCCCAGACUCCUACGGGAGGCAGCAGUGGGGAAUAUUGCACAAUGGGCGCAAGCCUGAUGCAGCGACGCCGCGUGAGGGAUGACGGCCUUCGGGUUGUAAACCUCUGUUAGCAGGGAAGAAGAGAGAUUGACGGUACCUGCAGAGAAAGCGCCGGCUAACUACGUGCCAGCAGCCGCGGUAAU
rnacentral:rRNA from 1 species